AUGAUGAGACCCUAUAUCAAUGGUUAGAACACUGGAUGAAAAAUCUUUGAUUAAUUCCUAGGGCGGACUGAUAAA
rfam:Phlebotomus papatasi Contig51323.1, whole genome shotgun sequence.